AUGAACGCUGGCGGCGUGCCUCAUCCAUGCAAGUCGCGCGAACAGACGAGGAGCUUGCUCCUCUGACGUUAGCGGCGGACGGGUGAGUAACACGUGGAUAACCUACCUAUAAGACUGGGAUAACUUCGGGAAACCGGAGCUAAUACCGGAUAAUAUAUUGAACCGCAUGGUUCAAUAGUGAAAGACGGUUUUGCUGUCACUUAUAGAUGGAUCCGCGCCGCAUUAGCUAGUUGGUAAGGUAACGGCUUACCAAGGCAACGAUGCGUAGCCGACCUGAGAGGGUGAUCGGCCACACUGGAACUGAGACACGGUCCAGACUCCUACGGGAGGCAGCAGUAGGGAAUCGUCCGCAAUGGGCGAAAGCCUGACGGAGCAACGCCGCGUGAGUGAUGAAGGUCUUCGGAUCGUAAAACUCUGUUAUUAGGGAAGAACAAAUGUGUAAGUAACUAUGCACGUCUUGACGGUACCUAAUCAGAAAGCCACGGCUAACUACG
rnacentral:rRNA from 1 species